rnacentral:rRNA from 1 species
GAUGAACGCUGGCGGCGUGCCUAAUACAUGCAAGUCGAGCGAACGGACGAGAAGCUUGCUUCUCUGAUGUUAGCGGCGGACGGGUGAGUAACACGUGGAUAACCUACCUAUAAGACUGGAAUAACUUCGGGAAACCGGAGCUAAUACCGGAUAAUAUUUUGAACCGCAUGGUUCAAAAGUGAAAGACGGUCUUGCUGUCACUUAUAGAUGGAUCCGCGCUGCAUUAGCUAGUUGGUAAGGUAACGGCUUACCAAGGCAACGAUGCAUAGCCGACCUGAGAGGGUGAUCGGCCACACUGGAGCUGAGACACGGUCCAGACUCCUACGGGAGGCAGCAGUAGGGAAUCUUCCGCAAUGGGCGAAAGCCUGACGGAGCAACGCCGCGUGAGUGAUGAAGGUCUUCGGAUCGUAAAACUCUGUUAUUAGGGAAGAACAUAUGUGUAAGUAACUGUGCACAUCUUGACGGUACCUAAUCAGAAAGCCACGGCUAACUACGUGCCAGCAGCCGCGGUAAUACGUAUGUGGCAAGCGUUAUCCGGAAUUAUUGGGCGUAAAGCGCGCGUAGGCGGUUUUUUAGUCUGAUGUGAAAGCCCACGGCUCAACCGUGGAGGGUCAUUGGAAACUGGAAAACUUGAGUGCAGAAGAGGAAAGUGGAAUUCCAUGUGUAGCGGUGAAAUGCGCAGAGAUAUGGAGGAACACCAGUGGCGAAGGCGACUUUCUGGUCUGUAACUGACGCUGAUGUGCGAAAGCGUGGGGAUCAAACAGGAUUAGAUACCCUGGUAGUCCACGCCGUAAACGAUGAGUGCUAAGUGUUAGGGGGUUUCCGCCCCUUAGUGCUGCAGCUAACGCAUUAAGCACUCCGCCUGGGGAGUACGACCGCAAGGUUGAAACUCAAAGGAACUGACGGGGACCCGCACAAGCGGUGGAGCAUGUGGUUUAAUUCGAAGCAACGCGAAGAACCUUACCAAAUCUUGACAUCCUUUGACAACUCUAGAGAUAGAGCCUUCUCCUUCGGGGGACAAAGUGACAGGUGGUGCAUGGUUGUCGUCAGCUCGUGUCGUGAGAUGUUGGGUUAAGUCCCGCAACGAGCGCAACCCUUAAGCUUAGUUGCCAUCAUUAAGUUGGGCACUCUAAGUUGACUGCCGGUGACAAACCGGAGGAAGGUGGGGAUGACGUCAAAUCAUCAUGCCCCUUAUGAUUUGGGCUACACACGUGCUACAAUGGACAAUACAAAGGGCAGCGAAACCGCGAGGUCAAGCAAAUCCCAUAAAGUUGUUCUCAGUUCGGAUUGUAGUCUGCAACUCGACUACAUGAAGCUGGAAUCGCUAGUAAUCGUAGAUCAGCAUGCUACGGUGAAUACGUUCCCGGGUCU